ACAUAGUAUUUUAAAACCCAAGAGAUUUUAUAUAAAAAAAUCAGUUUUCUUCAAAAAUUGCAAACCUGGCUACACUGGGGCUAGUGGUGUGCUGCAGCUAGCUUGUACUUGCUCAUUGAGCCAAUUAUUAGUAUCUCUUCUAAACAUGUGCAGUGACAAUCAUAGUAGAGGCUUGAAAUUAGCUAUGUGGGAGUGUUUACACCAUGAGAAUUGGCAAAUGCAACCUGUGACAGUUUGUUGUUGUUGUUUUUCUUGUUUUAAUGAGCCAGUUGUUAAACAUUUACCAGCACACCACUGCACUGGGAUCACAAUGUCACGUGGUAGCACAUGCUGGAGAGAGUAGUGACUCUCUCCUCAGACAGGAUGUGGGCUCUUUAGUCCAUAUCCAUCACCAUUUCCUAUUGUUUUUCGUCUGACUCAGUUCACUUAUUUUAAUUACCCGUCUGGCAUAGUUAAGCAUUUGACUUUGCAACUCCUGGUUUACGGUCAAAACACACAUUCAAAACACACUCUUAGAUGAUAACAUGGGGAAAAAAAUCAAGUCACUGUGCUUGUUUGAAAGUUUAAAAAAUAAAAGGCUUAAAUUGAACACUGUUGGACAAAUUGAAAUACCAUCUUUAGAAGCCUUUUUGUUCCUUUUCAAACCAUUGUUAUUCAAGCACAAAAGAAGACUGUAACAUACAUUUCAAGUCACAAAGUAAGAAGUCAGCAAAAAACAAAUUUUUUAAAAGAGAAGAUAAUUAUUUAAUCAUAUAUUUUUAAGAAACAAACUAUAAAACCUGGAACUUUUUAUUUCUAGUGAAAAAGCCAUCAUUGCUUCUCAAAAGCAGGUUUUCUUCAUUUGUCUAAAAACCUUAUACAGAUAUUUGACGGAACUCUUGAAAACCUGGACCCAAAAAAAAAAAAAAUUCCUUCACAAGAGAAACCUCUGAUUAAAUGAGUAUUUCAGUAAGAAUGUCUGAACAUGAAGCCAGACAUGAUAGUGGUCAGGAAAAUUCUCUUUCAAGUCAUCUUAAGUGGAUUCCUACACAAAUGACUGCAGUGUAUCCUGUUCUAAUAUAUAGGUCUGUGUUUCCCACGACAAUAAUGAUUGCACAUAUCAGUCUCUUCCCCUGGGGCAUGAACUUCAUAGUCCUACCCACUAAAAGAAAAUUAUUGUUCAAAAACCACUUCCAAGGUCCUAAGAACAAAUACAGAUGACAAAAUUGAGGAAAGAACAAAGACCAAUGGAAGUUCCUAAAACAGUUCCCAUCAAUGGGUUUUAUAUUUCUUGACACUGUCCUAACAGUAAUCACUUCCACCAUUAAAACUAUGCAAUAUGAGCAACUAUAAGAAGUCUCUAUCCCAAUGCACCACUUUAAAAAAUCUGUCUUCCUUCCUCUUCCCCUCACUAACCUCACUUUCAGCCUCAGGCCUACUUUAGCAUGGUGACUGAUCUUUUUUUUUUUUUUAAAUCAAGAUACUCAAAAAUAACAAGUAUUUGGAAUUCUAUCCUAGUCCCCAAAUUAUAAGGUCAACAUUACUUAGCCAUGCAUGGCUUGUAGCUAACUUCAAGAAAAAAAGGUUAAGGAAACACAAAGGAGGCAAGGAAGGGAGGGAGGAUGGUAAGGGAAGGAAGGGAAAGGAAAGGAAGGACAUGAACAUGUUUUGAGGUUACAUGAGACAAAAAAAAAGGCUAUGUUUAAAAAACAGAAGGAGGAAAACAAUAUCAUGUGUCUUCUUAGAUUCUUAAUAUAAAUUUUGGGCAGGGACAAAAUUCAAAUACCAUUGUUAUGAAUCAUCUUGAAAAAAAUUUCGUCUCUGAGUUUUGACAUCCUUCAUGUAUAUAGGACAUGCUUGAGAAUACAUUAGAAAGUUCAGGAAAUGAUGUAGUUUAGAGUCAAGAGCAGUUUGUGGAUAGAACCCAAAACAAAACAAGACCCAAAAAAAGAGAAUAACAGUUUUAUCUGUAGUGGGUAAUAUGUGCUGGCUGUACUAAUUCAUGUUGAGCUUUGUUUCAGUGUACUGAUUUUCACCAAUUUAAUGCUAAAGGUCUGGACGUCAGUUACCUCAAGAUCUCUUUUAGCGAAAGAGGUCAAUGUGCACUGGAGUACUUUUCCUCAAAAUGAUCAGAUUUGCAUCACAGCUCACUACCAAAGAGGUCUUUCCUGAACAUUCAUGUUAUCUCAGUUCUCUGCCUACUCUACGAAUCAGCCAGAAUCCAUAAGCUUCACAUGGAUGUUUACAAUAAGAAAUACGCCAUCAGCAUGUUUCAUUUAAUUUUGGUUGAAGUAUUUUAACAUGUACAUUACCCUAAUUGAAAUUAAAAAAAAAAAGUAGUAGCAAAGUAAGACUCUUACUUCAUAAUGGAAGACAUCAUAAUUGCAAGACUAUCAAAAAGUAAACGCUUUAGGUAAAAAUCAGGCUUUGCUGCAACCAAUGGGCUCCUAGGGCAGGACAUGCAUGGCUAAGGAAUGUAGUAAUAAGGUGAACAUGGACAGAAGAGGGACUGAAGGAAAGAGAAGAAAAAGGAGAAACUAAGGACAAGGGCUUCAGAUGAAGAGCUCCUAAACACUCCUAAAGACUACCAGUUACACAGCUAUAGGAAGAUAAGGACUGUGCCUGUCCUGUUGCCUGCUUAAUCUCCAGCGCCUACCACCAUUCCCACCGUACAGUAGGAAACAGAUGCG
rnacentral:lncRNA from 1 species